AUUGAACGCUGGCGGCAGGCCUAACACAUGCAAGUCGAGCGGAUGAAGGGAGCUUGCUCCUGGAUUCAGCGGCGGACGGGUGAGUAAUGCCUAGGAAUCUGCCUGGUAGUGGGGGAUAACGUCCGGAAACGGGCGCUAAUACCGCAUACGUCCUGAGGGAGAAAGUGGGGGAUCUUCGGACCUCACGCUAUCAGAUGAGCCUAGGUCGGAUUAGCUAGUUGGUGGGGUAAAGGCCUACCAAGGCGACGAUCCGUAACUGGUCUGAGGGGAUGGUCAGUCAGCGGGGAAGUGAGGCGCGGGCGAGACGCCGGGGGGGGGCAGCGGUGGGGAAUGGUGGGCGAGGGGGGAGAGGGUGAUCCAGCCGGGGGGGGGGGGGGAGGAAGGUCGUCGGAUGGGAGAGCGGUGUAGGUUGGGGGGAAGGGCAGUAAGUUGAUACCGGGCUGUUUUGACGUUACCAACAGAAUAAGCACCGGCUAACUUCGUG
rnacentral:rRNA from 1 species